CCUACGGGCGGUAGCAGUGGGGAAUAUUGGACAAUGGGCGAAAGCCUGAUCCAGCCAUGCCGCGUGUGUGAAGAAGGCCUUCGGGUUGUAAAGCACUUUCAGUGGGGAAGAAAGCCUUGGGGCUAAUACCCUCGAGGAAGGACAUCACCCACAGAAGAAGCACCGGCUAACUCCGUGCCAGCAGCCGCGGUAAUACGGAGGGUGCGAGCGUUAAUCGGAAUUACUGGGCGUAAAGCGCGCGUAGGCGGUCUGAUAAGCCGGUUGUGAAAGCCCCGGGCUCAACCUGGGAACGGCAUCCGGAACUGUCAGGCUAGAGUGCAGGAGAGGAAGGUAGAAUUCCCGGUGUAGCGGUGAAAUGCGUAGAGAUCGGGAGGAAUACCAGUGGCGAAGGCGGCCUUCUGGACUGACACUGACGCUGAGGUGCGAAAGCGUGGGUAGCAAACAGGAUUAGAUACCCGAGUAGUC
rnacentral:rRNA from 1 species